AAUAUUGGUCAAUGGGCGCAAGCCUGAACCAGCCAUGCCGCGUGCAGGAAGACUGCCUAUGGGUUGUAAACUGCUUUAUACAGGAAGAACACUCGGACGUGUCCGAGCUUGACGGUACUGUAAGAAUAAGGAUCGGCUAACUCCGUGCCAGCAGCCGCGGUAAUACGGAGGAUCCAAGCGUUAUCCGGAAUCAUUGGGUUUAAAGGGUCCGUAGGUGGAUUAGUAAGUCAGAGGUGAAAGCCUGCAGCUCAACUGUAGAACUGCCUUUGAUACUGCUAGUCUUGAGUCAUUAUGAAGUGGUUAGAAUGUGUAGUGUAGCGGUGAAAUGCAUAGAUAUUACACAGAAUACCGAUUGCGAAGGCAGAUCACUAAUAAUGUACUGACACUGAUGGACGAAAGCGUGGGGAGCGAACAGGAUUAGAUACCCUGGUAG
rnacentral:rRNA from 1 species